rnacentral:rRNA from 1 species
AGUGAACGCUGGCGGCGUGCUUAACACAUGCAAGUCGAACGAGAACGGAUUAUAGCUUGCUAUAAUUGUCAGCUAAGUGGCGCACGGGUGAGUAAUGUAUAGGUAAUAUGCCUCUUACUAAGGGAUAACAAAUGGAAACGUUUGCUAAUACCUUAUACUCCUUAUUAACCUAAGUUAAUAAGGGAAAGAUUUAUCGGUAAGAGAUUAGCCUGUAUUGUAUCAGUUAGUUGGUGGGGUAAUGGCUUACCAAGACUAUGACACAUAACUGGUUUGAGAGGAUGAUCAGUCACACUGGAACUGAGACACGGUCCAGACUCCUACGGGAGGCAGCAGUGGGGAAUAUUGCACAAUGGACGGAAGUCUGAUGCAGCAACGCCGCGUGGAGGAUGACACAUUUCGGUGCGAAAACUCCUUUUAUAUGAGAAGAUAAUGACGGUAUUAUAUGAAUAAGCACCGGCUAACUCCGUGCCAGCAGCCGCCGUAAAAC